AUUGAACGCUGGCGGCAUGCCUUACACAUGCAAGUCGAACGGUAACAGGUCUUCGGAUGCUGACGAGUGGCGAACGGGUGAGUAAUGCAUCGGAACGUGCCCAGUAGUGGGGGAUAGCUCGGCGAAAGCCGGAUUAAUACCGCAUACGACCUGAGGGUGAAAGGGGGGGAUCGCAAGACCUCUCGCUAUUGGAGCGGGCGAUGUCAGAUUAGCUAGUUGGUGGGGUAAAGGCCUACCAAGGCAACGAUCUGUAGUUGGUCUGAGAGGACGACCAGCCACACUGGGACUGAGACACGGCCCAGACUCCUACGGGAGGCAGCAGUGGGGAAUUUUGGACAAUGGGCGCAAGCCUGAUCCAGCAAUGCCGCGUGCAGGAAGAAGGCCUUCGGGUUGUAAACUGCUUUUGUCAGGGAAGAAAUCUUCUGGGUUAAUACCUCGGGAGGAUGACGGUACCUGAAGAAUAAGCACCGGCUAACUACGUGCCAGCCGCCGCGGUAACAC
rnacentral:rRNA from 1 species